CUUGAACGCUGGCGGCAGGCCUAACACAUGCAAGUCGAACGAGUGGCGGACGGGUGAGUAAUGUCUGGGAAACUGCCUGAUGGAGGGGGAUAACUACUGGAAACGGUAGCUAAUACCGCAUACCAUCAGAUGUGCCCAGAUGGGAUUAGCUAGUUGGUGGGGUAACGGAGCACCAAGGCGACGAUCCCUAGCUGGUCUGAGAGGAUGACCAGCCACAAUGGAACUGAGACACGGUCCAGACUCCUACGUGAGGCAGCAGUGGGGAAUAUUGAAAAAUGGGCGCAAGCCUGAUGCAGCAAUGCCGCGUGUAUGAAGAAGGCCUUCGGGUUGUAAAGUACUUUCAGCGGGGAGGCGUUACCCGCAGAAGAAGCAACGGCUAACUACGUGCCAGCAGCCGCGGUAAUAC
rnacentral:rRNA from 1 species